rnacentral:rRNA from 1 species
UACGUAGGGGGCAAGCGUUGUCCGGAUUUAUUGGGCGUAAAGAGCGUGUAGGCGGCCAAACAGGUCAGCUGUGAAACUCGAGGCUCAACCUCGAGACGUCGGUUGAAACCGUUUGGCUAGAGUCCGGAAGAGGAGAGUGGAAUUCCCGGUGUAGCGGUGAAAUGCGCAGAGUAUCGGGAAGAACACCCGUGGCGAAGGCGGCUCUCUGGGACGGUACUGACGCGUGAGACGCGAAAGCGUGGGAGCGAACAGG